rnacentral:rRNA from 1 species
CCUACGGGUGGCAGCAGUCGAGAAUCAUUCACAAUGGGGGAAACCCUGAUGGUGCGACGCCGCGUGGGGGAAUGAAGGUCUUCGGGUUGUAAACCCCUGUCAUGUGGGAGCAAAUUAAAAAGCUAGUACCCCAUGAGGAAGAGACGGCUAACUCUGUGCCAGCAGCCGCGGUAAUACAGAGGUCUCAAGAGUUGUUCGGAAUCACUGGGCGUAAAGCGUGCGUAGGCUGUUUCGUAAGUCUUGUGUGAAAGUCGCGGGCUCAACCCGCGGAAGGCACAUGAUACUGCGAGACUAGAGUAAUGUAGGGGGAACCGGAAUUCGCGGUGUAGCAGUGAAAUGCGUAGAUAUCGAGAGGAACACUCGUGGCGAAGGCGGGUUACUGGACAGUAACUGACGCUGAGGCACGAAGGUCAGGGGAGCGAAAGGGAUUAGAUACCCUUGUAGUC